CAGCAUGGUGGAUCGCGCGGGGAGGCCUUCGGGUCUGCCGGUUCCUGUUUCCGGUCUGGCAACGCCGCGCGAUCCGCCGCCCUU
rnacentral:antisense_RNA from 1 species